rnacentral:tRNA from 1 species
AGCCCUGUAGUCUAGCGGCCAAGGAUAGUGGACUUUGGAUCCAUUGACGGAGGUUCAAAUCCUCCCAGGGCUA